rnacentral:rRNA from 1 species
CACCAGACUCCUACGGGAGGCAGCAGUGGGGAAUAUUGCACAAUGGGGGAAACCCUGAUGCAGCGACGCCGCGUGAGCGAUGAAGUAUUUCGGUAUGUAAAGCUCUAUCAGCAGGGAAGAAAAUGACGGUACCUGACUAAGAAGCCCCGGCUAACUACGUGCCAGCAGCCGCGGUAAUACGUAGGGGGCAAGCGUUAUCCGGAUUUACUGGGUGUAAAGGGGGCGCAGACGGCAGCGCAAGCCAGGAGUGAAAGCCCGGGGCCCAACCCCGGGACUGCUCUUGGAACUGCGCGGCUGGAGUGCAGGAGGGGCAGGCGGAAUUCCUGGUGUAGCGGUGAAAUGCGUAGAUAUCAGGAGGAACACCGGUGGCGAAGGCGGCCUGCUGGACUGCGACUGACGUUGAGGUCCGAAAGCGUGGGGAGCAAACAGGAUUAGAUACCCGUGUA